rnacentral:lncRNA from 1 species
CAUGAAUAACUGGAUACUUCUUUUAAGUUCCAGGAAAGCAAGACAACAGUAAGCCCACAUGAGGAGGGCUGCCAUUUGGGUGGUCAUCAAAGACAGGGCUGCUCUAGAAAGUUUAUAGAAAAAGGAUAUGCGGUAUUUUCAACGACUACCCAAAGAGCUGAUGUGAAGGACCUGCACUGCCAAGAGCCUCAAACUCCUUUCUAAAGCACACACCCUCAGGGCUCUGCCCAUCUCCUGGCUCUUCAGUGUGGGGACCCUACUCCUGCUCUGUGAAGCAAGUUCCUGGGUGAAGAGCCAACCAAUGGAACAGCAGGAAAGCCACUCUGUGAGUAUCCAGAGGGCUAUCAGAAGCCCAGGGAGCCCUCAGAUCUCCAGGGCCUUGAGCCCUGGAGGAGGGAAAGCUCUUCCCCUACAGCUGCUGUAGGCAGGACUUUCGCUCUGGUUAUCUUUGGAAUCGUUGGCUCAUGACUCCUGGUCAAGUGUGACAGCAGCUUCCCCAGAAAAGAAGUCUAGCUAACCCCCAGUCUGCCUACAGACAGAAGCCCUUCAGAACCCUGAAUGUGACAAAAGCUGUCUGAGGAGUGCCAAUGUGGACCCUGGGGAGAGAGCCAUUCCCCCACUGAGGGUGGCAAGGACUUCACUGAGGAGUCAAAACUUAGGACCCGCAUGCAUCUGCACAGUGGGGUGGAGCUGUUCACAUGCUCUGAGUGCAAGAGGAACUCCUUACUUGUUCAGUCACCAGCAUGGGCACAGAGGGAAAAGACCUUUCCCAUGUCCAGAAUGUGGCCACUUUGCUUCCAGGCUUCCUCCACACCUACACAGUGAAGAGAGUGUUCUCCUGCAGUGACUGUGAGAAAAACCCCUGAAAUCUCAGCCUGUCACCCACCUCCCUCUGUACACAGGUUCCCAGAACAUCAUAAGAGUUUACUGCAAGCUGACAUCAAAGUCCAUGUAUCCAUAUCCCCAAGAGGUCUUUUUCUUACCCACAGUCUGAGCUCCCUGAGCCCCUCAGAGUGCACAGUGAAGUGAGGCCUUCCAGUGCCUAAGAGUAAAGAAGGAAGCUUUCCCAGCCUGAAGGAGGACCCACUUGUCCACCAGGGUCUACACAGAGGGCAGAGACCCUUAUAAUGUCCCAGUGUGGCCAGGCACACCACUCAAGCUACCAUGUUGUUUUCUCCCACUGCUCUCUGUUCUUUACAGAGAGUCCUCCUGGUCACUGUUGUGGUUUUACUCUUUUUUCGUGGGUGGGGCGGGGUGAUGUACCAGGGAUUGAACUCAGGGGCAGUUGGCCACUGAGCCACAUUCCCAGCCGUAUUUAUUUAGAGACAGGGUCUCACUGAAUUGCUUAGCACCUCACUUUUUCUGAUACUGGUUUUGAACUUGUGAUCCUCCUGCCUCAGCCUCCCAAGCCUUUGGGAUUACAGGUGUGUUUCACCGUGCCCAGCUUGGUUUUACUCUUACUAGGCUUUUUGUAACUAGUUUUGACUGACCCAUACCUUGGCAUUUGAAGUGUAUACUGGAUUUUGGCAAUAAUGUUAUGCAUGGUUGAUGUCAGUAAUAAUCUGGAGAUCAAAUUAAACCUUCCCUGAAACUCAGGGAGCAGACUCUUGAUUACUGUAAGGAAAAGCCCAUGAUUUACUUAAUACUAAAAUGAUGGUCCCUAAAAUCUCUUUGUUCCCCAAAGUUUCAUAUUCCUCCUCCUAAUUCAGCACAUUUUCCAUGAGUUAUUUUGCUAACAACAUUCCACUGGCAAUUCAUACAAUGCUGGCUGCAAAUUCAGCUACUGGCUACAUAUUUCUCCAGAGCUCCAAAC